ACACAUGCAAGUCGAGCGGAGAUGAGGUGCUUGCACCUUAUCUUAGCGGCGGACGGGUGAGUAAUGCUUAGGAAUCUGCCUAUUAGUGGGGGACAACAUUCCGAAAGGAAUGCUAAUACCGCAUACGUCCUACGGGAGAAAGCAGGGGAUCUUCGGACCUUGCGCUAAUAGAUGAGCCUAAGUCGGAUUAGCUAGUUGGUGGGGUAAAGGCCUACCAAGGCGACGAUCUGUAGCGGGUCUGAGAGGAUGAUCCGCCACACUGGGACUGAGACACGGCCCAGACUCCUACGGGAGGCAGCAGUGGGGAAUAUUGGACAAUGGGGGGAACCCUGAUCCAGCCAUGCCGCGUGUGUGAAGAAGGCCUUAUGGUUGUAAAGCACUUUAAGCGAGGAGGAGGCUACUGAGACUAAUACUCUUGGAUAGUGGACGUUACUCGCAGAAUAAGCACCGGCUAACUCUGUGCCAGCA
rnacentral:rRNA from 1 species